GACGAACGCUGGCGGCGUGCUUAACACAUGCAAGUCGAACGGAAAGGCCCUGCUUUUGUGGGGUUCUCGAGUGGCGAACGGGUGAGUAACACGUGAGUAACCUGCCCUUGACUGUCUGAUAACUUUAGGGAACUGGGGCUAAUACCGGAUAGGAGCUCCUGAUCCAUGGUGUUGGUUGGAAAGAUUCGGCGGUUGUGGCUGGUCUAGCGGCUUAUCAGCUUGUUUGUGGGGUUGUUGCUUACAAAGGCUUUGACGGGUAGCCGGCCUGAGAGGGUUGCCGGCGACAUUGGGACUGAGGUACGGCGCAGACGCGUACGGGAGGCAGCAGGGGGGAAUAUGGCAGAACGAGCGGACGCCUGUUGCAGAGACCCCGGGUGCGGGAUGACCUGCUUCGGGUGGUGAACCGCUUUCGCAUGUGAUGAAGCGGGCGUGACGGUAAUGGGUAAAGAAGCAACGGCUAACUACGUG
rnacentral:rRNA from 1 species